GAAGAGGAUCCAGCAGAACACUUCAUGCCCUAGGGGAGGCUGGGAGGAGACUGGAUGCUGAAUGAGGCUGUGGAAGGCCCCCUGCUGAACAGGAACAUCUGUGUUGGAUUUUGUCUUCAGCAGUAUCAGGUUAAAUGUUCCCUGCCCUUUAUGAUAUUGAAUGGACUCCAGUUCCUCAAGGCAUCAGGCAAAUGCUUUCGAAGAAGAGGAAGUCAGAGGUCUUCAGACUCAGACUGGAAUCUACACCAUUGGCUCUCCAGCUCUCAGGCCUUAUAACUAUACCACUGGCCUUCCUGGGUCUCCAGAUUGCAGACCACAGAUCAUGGGACUUCUCAGCCUCCGUAAUCAUGUGAGCCAAUAUCUUAAUAGAAAAGAUAUGUGCUUGCAUCUCUGGCAGGAAGUGCAACUACUUUGCUACUGAAGGAAGAUUUCUCUCCCCAGCCGGCAACAGCCCAGCCAAUGAGAAAUGCCACAUCUCAGCCAAUGAGAAACUCUGCUGCUCAGCUAAUGAGAAGCUGUUGCUGCCCUGAACUGUUACUUUCCUCCAAUGUAAUUUUCUUUAGAACAGCUCCUCCCUAAUCUCCCUUUUUCUCUAUAAAAGCAGUCCCCCCCACCCACCCCCCCACUUUGUUUUCUGGAUCUGCUUACAGUUUGCCAUAGUAUGCAUGUCUUGAAUUGCAAUUCUUUUAGCUAUUCGCAAAGUAACUCGUUUUGAGGAUCAAAAUAACAGGCGAAUUUGUUUGUUAAAUUGACACUUUAAAUUUUUAAUAACUAUGAUGAAAAAUUCAAAUUUAUUAUAUUAUUUUCAAGUUUUGAUUUGUUGAAUUUGUACAGAAUGGCUUUAUGUU